AACGAACGCUGGCGGCAUGCCUAACACAUGCAAGUCGAACGAUGCCUUCGGGCAUAGUUUCGCUCGGGUGAUUACCGCCUGGGAACCUACCCUGUGGUACGGUAUCUCUCCGGGAAACUGGAGCUAAUACAGCAUGUGUCCCCUGGGCCAAAGAUUUAUCGCCACGGGAUGGGCACGCGUAGGAUUAGCUUGUUGGUGGGGUAACGGCCUACAAAGGCUACGAUCCUUAGCUGGUCUGAGAGGAUGAUCAGCCACACUGGGACUGAGAGACGGCGCAGAUUCCUGGGGGAGGAAGGAGUGGGGAAUAUGGAACAAUGGGCGAGAGCAUGAGGCAGUCAGGUCGAGUGAGUGAUGAAGGCGUGAGGGUUGUAAAGCUGUUUCGCACGCGAAGAUGGUGACGGUAGCGUGAGAAGAAGCGCCGGCUAACUUCGUG
rnacentral:rRNA from 1 species